rnacentral:rRNA from 1 species
UACGUAGGUGGCAAGCGUUGUCCGGAAUUAUUGGGCGUAAAGCGCGCGCAGGCGGCCUUUUAAGUCUGACGUGAAAGCCCACGGCUCAACCGUGGAAGGUCAUUGGAAACUGAAAGGCUUGAGUACAGAAGAGGAAAGCGGAAUUCCACGUGUAGCGGUGAAAUGCGUAGAGAUGUGGAGGAACACCAGUGGCGAAGGCGGCUUUCUGGUCUGUAACUGACGCUGAGGCGCGAAAGCGUGGGGAGCAAACAGG